rnacentral:rRNA from 1 species
GGAGUUAGCCGGUGCUUCUUCUGCGAGUAACGUCACAGAUGUAAGGUAUUAACUUACACCCUUUCCUCCUCGCUGAAAGUGCUUUACAACCCGAAGGCCUUCUUCACACACGCGGCAUGGCUGCAUCAGGGUUUCCCCCAUUGUGCAAUAUUCCCCACUGCUGCCUCCCGUAGGAGUCUGGGCCGUGUCUCAGUCCCAGUGUGGCUGAUCAUCCUCUCAGACCAGCUAGGGAUCGUCGCCUAGGUGAGCCUUUACCUCACCUACUAGCUAAUCCCACCUGGGCUUAUCCAUCAGCGCAAGGCCCGAAGGUCCCCUGCUUUCCCCCGUAGGGCGUAUGCGGUAUUAGCAGUCGUUUCCAACUGUUAUCCCCCACAAUGGGCAAAUUCCCAGGCAUUACUCACCCGUCCGCCGCUCGUCAUCUUCAAAGCAAGCUUUUGAAUGUUACCGCUCGACUUGCAUGUGUUAGGCCUGCCGCCAGCGUUCAAUCUGAGCCAGAAUCAAACUCUGA